GCUGGCGACGUCAGUCCCUCCCCAGCCGGCACCGCGGCGUCCUCCCACGAGCUGGUGGAGCGGGCACUGAUGUGGGCCGCCGACAUCUGCCGACUCUACCCCCACAUCUUCUCACUCAUCUACAUCAUCUUCAAGGAGAGCAACAGCCCGGCCGAGGCGCUCACCUGGUUCAGAAAUUUGAUCCAGCGGAGCAUGGAGAAACGGGCUAACAUCUGGCAGCCAUGGAACAUGUCUUAAAUCAGUGCUUUCAGCGGUGGGCCAAUAACC